GGGGGGGGAUUUUGUAUUAUGCUAAUUAGACAUAGAGGGGGUUAACCUUUAUAAAGGAACUGUUCACUUAGUUGUGUCAUACCUCAUAAACCAUAAACAAAACAGAGUGAAACGCAGUACACAACUUUAUUAGUAUUUGUUAGUGAAAACCGAUAUAACAAGCGAGAAAAAUAUACAUUUGACAAAAAAAUCUACAGUCUCAAAACGCACAAAGAAUACACAAAUGCAAAAGAGAUUUCAUGCAAAAAUUGUAGGCACUUUUACUUGGUGGCGCAAUGGUUGGUGACGCUAUGUUCAAUACAAAUCAAAUCCAAUUGUAUUUGUCACAUGCGCCGAAUACAACAGGUGUAGUAGACCUUACAGUGAAAUGCUGAAUACAACAGGUGUAGGUAGACCUUACAGUGAAAUGCUGAAUACAACAGGUGUAGUAGACCUUACAGUGAAAUGCUGAAUACAACAGGUGUAGGUAGACCUUACAGUGAAAUGCUGAAUACAACAGGUGUAGGUAGACCUUACAGUGAAAUGCUGAAUACAACAGGUGUAGGUAGACCUUACAGUGAAAUGCUGAAUACAACAGGUGUAGGUAGACCUUACAGUGAAAUGCUGAAUACAACAGGUGUAGGUAGACCUUACAGUGAAAUGCUGAAUACAACAGGUGUAGGUAGACCUUACAGUGAAAUGCUGAAUACAACAG
ensembl:lncRNA